ensembl:lncRNA
GUAGGUGUGUGUGUGCUUAUCGUGCCUGCAUGUCCGUGUGUGUGUGUGUGUGUGUGUGUGUGUGUGCUUAUCGAGCCUGCGUGUCCGGUCUGUGUGUGUGUGGGUGUGUGUGUGCUUAUCGUGCCUGCGUGUCCGGUGUGUGUGUGUGUGUUUGUGUGUAGUGUGUGUGUGUGUGUGUGCUUAUCGUGCCUGCGUGUCCGGUGUGUGUGUGUGUGUGUGUGUAGGUGUGUGUGUGUGUGCUUAUCGUGCAUGCGUGUCCGGUGUGUGUGUGUGUGUGUGUGUGUGUUUGUGUGUAGGUGUGUGUGUGUGUGUGCUUAUCGUGCCUGCGUGUCCGGUGUGUGUGUGUGUGUUUGUGUGUGUGUGUGUGUGUGUGUGUGUGUGUGUGUGUGUGUGCUUAUCGUGCCUGCGUGUCCGGUCUGUGUGAUAGUCCUGAUAUUGUCGGUAUGAUGCAUAGCCGGUAUCUUGAUGGUUGAGAUUAGAUUCUCAGGGGGAAUCUGCUCUCUUUCUGAUCUCCAUAUCUACAUACUCUUACCUGUCCUACUUGGCAAAGUCUCACAGAUGGACAUUUUGCCAUGACAAAGUGUUUUGCUGGUACUGGUAGGAUUUAAUCAUUUGAUGUUGGUCAUCAGUUCACCGUGCAGUGAGUGUGUUGGCGCUAUCUUUGAUGACAUCACUAUGUGAGGCUCUUCUCACUACACUCUUUUUUUAAAAGCAUUCCAAAGGGCUUCUUCUGGUGUCCCCAUAGGAGAACCCUUUUUGGUUCCAGGAAGAACCCUUUUUGGUUCCAGUUUGAACCUUUUUGGGUUCCGGUAGAACCUUUUUGGGUUCCAUGUAGAACUGUCUUUUUCACUCUCUAUUGUUCCUUUUGGCAUGACCUGACUUGGUUUUGUUUAGACAACAAUAGUCAGUCCAUUGUUGAGUUCAGGCAAAGAGUUUAACUGAAUAACGUAG